AUUGAACGCUGGCGGCAGGCCUAACACAUGCAAGUCGAGCGAGCGGCGGACGGGUGAGUAAUGUAUGGGGAUCUGCCUGGUAGUGGGGGAUAACGUCCGGAAACGGGCGCUAAUACCGCAUACCAUCGGAUGUGCCCAGAUGGGAUUAGCUAGUAGGUGGGGUAACGGCUCACCUAGGCGACGAUCCCUAGCUGGUCUGAGAGGAUGACCAGCCACACUGGAACUGAGACACGGUCCAGACUCCUACGGGAGGCAGCAGUGGGGAAUAUUGCACAAUGGGCGCAAGCCUGAUGCAGCCAUGCCGCGUGUAUGAAGAAGGCCUUCGGGUUGUAAAGUACUUUCAGCGAGGAGGCGUUACUCGCAGAAGAAGCACCGGCUAACUCCGUGCCAGCAGCCGCGGUAAUAC
rnacentral:rRNA from 1 species